UUAAUGGUAAGGAAAUAGAAAAAGAUUAUGAUUUCUGUAAAAAAAUAAACGUGGUAAAAGGUGAAAAAUCUAUUACGUCCUUGAAGAGUAAUUGGGAGAAAUCUUUAAAAUCUAUUACGUCAGUGAAGAGUAAUUGGGAGAAAUCUUUUAGGCAUGUCUCUCGGUGAAUUUCGCUACCCAAAAAUCCGUGAUUCACUUACUAAUAAGCCACAACAAACAACAAAAAAAAUUGUUCAACUAGCCGCUAAAACGUGGUAGCCCCAUUUUUUCAAUCAAUAGCAAACCAAUCGCAUAUAUAUUUAAACUUCAAUAAAAUGCGGUAGCUCCAUCUUAUGCCAUCACGUGGUAGCUCCAUCUUCUUCCAUCAAUAGCUCUAUCUUCUGCCAUCACGCUGUAGCUCUAUCUUCGGCCAUCAAUAGCUCGCAUUGCAAACAAAAUCGCACCUAUAUUUAACCCUCAAUAAAACACCGUAGCUCUAUCUUCUGCCUCCAAUAGCUCCCUCUCAAAACCAAAUGACACAUAUAUUUAAAUCCCACGA
rnacentral:lncRNA from 1 species